AUAACUUUGGAUUUAUUGCGUUUGGACCGAAAAUCGAUGAUUUUCAGAAAGAAGAAAACACUCGAUAAACAUGGCUUGCACAGAUUCUGAUGGUUAUAUUCAAGAACCUACUGAUUUUUUCGGAUUCAUUGGGUUUGGACCGAAAAUCGACGAUUUUCCAGGAUAAAAAAUCACGAUAUGAACAUGGCUUGCACAAAUUCUGAUGGUUAUAUUCGAGAAACUACUGAUUGUUUUUGAUGUAUUGCGUUUGGACCGAAAAUCGACGAUUUUCAAGAAAUCACUGUAUAAACAUAGCUAGCACAAAUUCUGAUGGUUGAAUUUGAAGAAUUAUAGAUAACUUUGAAGUUAUUGCGAUUGACCGAAAAUCGACGAUAUUCCGAAAAUCACUGUAUAAACAUGGCUUGCACUAAUUCUCAUGGUAAUAUUCGAGAAAUUACUGUUUACCUUGGAUUUAUUGUGUUUGGACGGAAAAUCGACGAUUUUCC